rnacentral:rRNA from 1 species
UAGGGAAUCUUCCGCAAUGGACGCAAGUCUGACGGAGCAACGCCGCGUGAGUGAAGAAGGUUUUCGGAUCGUAAAGCUCUGUUGCCAGGGAAGAACGGAUGGGAGAGUAACUGCUCUUGUCAUGACGGUACCUGAGAAGAAAGCCCCGGCUAACUACGUGCCAGCAGCCGCGGUAAUACGUAGGGGGCAAGCGUUGUCCGGAAUUAUUGGGCGUAAAGCGCGCGCAGGCGGUACGUUAAGUCUGGUGUCUAAGACUGGGGCUCAACCCUGGAACGCACCGGAAACUGGCGAACUUGAGUGCAGGAGAGGAAAGUGGAAUUCCACGUGUAGCGGUGAAAUGCGUAGAGAUGUGGAGGAACACCAGUGGCGAAGGCGACUUUCUGGCCUGUAACUGACGCUGAGGCGCGAAAGCGUGGGGAGCAAACA